CAGUCGAGGGGCAGCAUUUUAGUUUGCUUGCAACUGAAGAUGGCGACCGGCGCACGGGUGAGUAACACGUAUCCAACCUGCCGAUAACUCCGGAAUAGCCUUUCGAAAGAAAGAUUAAUACCGGAUAGCAUACGAAUAUCGCAUGAUAUUUUUAUUAAAGAAUUUCGGUUAUCGAUGGGGAUGCGUUCCAUUAGUUUGUUGGCGGGGUAACGGCCCACCAAGACUACGAUGGAUAGGGGUUCUGAGAGGAAGGUCCCCCACAUUGGAACUGAGACACGGUCCAAACUCCUACGGGAGGCAGCAGUGAGGAAUAUUGGUCAAUGGGCGAGAGCCUGAACCAGCCAAGUAGCGUGAAGGAUGAAGGCUCUAUGGGUCGUAAACUUCUUUUAUAUGGGAAUAAAGUUUUCCACGUGUGGAAUUUUGUAUGUACCAUAUGAAUAAGGAUCGGCUAACUCCGUGCCAGCAGCCGCGGUAAUACGGAGGAUCCGAGCGUUAUCCGGAUUUAUUGGGUUUAAAGGGAGCGUAGGUGGAUUGUUAAGUCAGUUGUGAAAGUUUGCGGCUCAACCGUAAAAUUGCAGUUGAAACUGGCAGUCUUGAGUACAGUAGAGGUGGGCGGAAUUCGUGGUGUAGCGGUGAAAUGCUUAGAUAUCACGAAGAACUCCGAUUGCGAAGGCAGCUCACUAGACUGUCACUGACACUGAUGCUCGAAAGUGUGGGUAUCAAACAGGAUUAGAUACCCUGGUAGUCCACACAGUAAACGAUGAAUACUCGCUGUUUGCGAUAUACAGUAAGCGGCCAAGCGAAAGCAUUAAG
rnacentral:rRNA from 1 species